ACGGUCAAAUCACGCUGAAAACACCGGUUCUCGUUCGAUCACCGAAGUUAAGCAUCGUAGAGCCAGGUCAGUACUUAGAUGGGGGACCGCUUGGAAACACCUGGUACUGUAAG
rnacentral:rRNA from 1 species